UACGUAGGGUGCGAGCGUUGUCCGGAAUUAUUGGGCGUAAAGAGCUCGUAGGCGGCCUGUCGCGUCGGAUGUGAAAGCCCGGGGCUUAACCCCGGGUCUGCAUUCGAUACGGGCAGGCUAGAGUGUGGUAGGGGAGAUCGGAAUUCCUGGUGUAGCGGUGAAAUGCGCAGAUAUCAGGAGGAACACCGGUGGCGAAGGCGGAUCUCUGGGCCAUUACUGACGCUGAGACGCGAAAGCGUGGGGAGCGAACAGG
rnacentral:rRNA from 1 species